rfam:Streptomyces mangrovisoli strain MTSC 149 53, whole genome shotgun sequence.
GCCGGUCCUCGGUAGUGGCCCCCGGGCGAAAACGAACCCCGGGUGCUUCGAUCGAAGACCGGC